CUUAUAUUUUAGUAUUUUUAAUUUAAUUUAUAAAUUUAUUUUUUAGUAUUAUGUUGUUGUUCUUUUUUUUUCUUUUUUUUUUAGUUUUAAAAAUUUUGUUUUAAUAAUAAAAAAAAAUAAUGGCAAAAAUCUGCAGAUGUGGUUGCCAGAAAUUUACUGUUAACAAUUAAUAAGGGGAGUAAUUUGUUUCCCAUUACUUUAAUCUAAAUAUUGUUUUAUUAUUAUAAUUUUUAUUAUUAAAAUGACUUGACCAUUGACACUUCAAUUUAAGGCAGUAACAGAACAAGUUUUAAGUUAAAGACCUCUAAUUUCUCAUCUAAUUUGAUUCCUAAGAGAAAGACUGAUAGCACAUGUGUGUCCUUCUUUGGCUGCAGACGCUGUGCUCCUCACUGCUCCUCCCACAGGUGUCCGGCGCUCCACAGCUGACCUGGAAACCAAUGAUUGAUGACAUCAUUUAAAGGGCUGCUCCAGUUCUCUGUUUGGACUCUCAUUCUGACGGCACCCAUUCACUGCAGAGCAUCCAUUGAUGAGACACUGAUGCAGUGCUACAUUUCUACAAACCUGAUGAAGAAACAAACUCAUCCUGAUCUCAGAUGAUCUGAGGGAGGAUCACCGUAAUGGAGGUGGACUGUAAAUAAGCAGAAGGCCUUCUUGACAAAUGAAUCCAUUAACAUUUCCCAGUGUCACCUGGCAAGGAGACUUGCCGUUUAUGAGGCAGAAAAAACAGGCCUGUAAAUCUGACGAUCGGCGGAGACCUGAAACCUGCGCGUUCAUGAUGCAGCACUUUAUCUGGCUCUGAAAUGGCAUCUUUAUCUGCUUAAAUUAAGUUUUGAUUCCUUGCCACAUACGGUGUUGCAAAUCACUUUUAACGCCGAUAUCGAGAGUGGCACUAAAGUCGGCCUGUGGCCAUGAAAAACUGCUUUUUAUUUUGUAGCAUCCUUGUGUUGUGCCGGUUUGCUUUAACCCCUGCAUAUUCUCUCAGCAUAAUCUAUCACAGAAAGAUGCUCUAAAAAGUCAUUGAGUCAAGGUUUAUGGGCAGAAUAAAUUUCCAAUUUAAAUUUGGUUUUACCGCUGUGUGUCAGAGAAGGAUUCCCUGACUUCUGUUUCACUUCAUAACGCCGGCCUGAAGUCAGCGCUUUAGAGACGCCGAGAUUGAUAGAGUUUUUUUUUCUCAAGGACGCCCAUCAUUCGCUCAGGCGUUAACGUCUUUGUUAAUGGAGGAGAAGGGCUGUCGCACCAAUGACUGACAGGUCUUUCAUCGUUAGCAAACGCUGAGUGACAGUUUGGGGGAAAAGCACCAAUGAGCUGAGAGAGGUGAGUUUAUGUUGAUGUUGCUGUUUGGGUUUGAUUAGAGCAGAGCUUCUCCAGCGGUUUGUCAUCAGGAUUUACACUGAAAAAAAAAAAAAAAAAACUGGGGUAGAAACAAUUCUCAUGUAGAAACUGCACGUAAAUUUCACAAAUCGUUACUAAGUAAUGGCAAUAACACAUUGAAAUAAUCAUGAAAUUUUGAAGUGGACAAACCAAAAUAGUAUUUUCUUGUAACAUGCACUCCAAUAAUUUUAUUUACAACAUUGAAAAUUUAGUUUUACAGUGCAGAUUUUACAUCAAUGGUCUCAAGCUCACAGCUCUGCAGAGUUCAGCUCCAACCAGCUCCAAAUCACACCUGCUUGAAAGUUUCAUAUAUAGUUUUAAUUAACUAUUUAACUUUAACAAAUUGUUGCUUGAAAUAAAAUAGACAUUAACUGAAAAAAUAAAGAUGUGCUAAAAAUAACAAGAAUUUUAAAUAAAAAUUAAUACAAACUAUAUAUAAACAAACCACUAAAAAUUACAAAAACACACAACAAAAUUACAAAAACUUUAACUAAAAUUAAAAAAAGCAUUUCCAUUAUUUAAUAAUACAGACACUAAAUAGACAUUAAUGAAAUAAAAUAGACAUUAUUGAUAUAAAAGAAAAUAUAAAACCUUUUUAUU
ensembl:lncRNA